rnacentral:rRNA from 1 species
GUCUCUCUUGAGUGGAUCCUGAGUACGGCGGAGCACGUGAAAUUCCGUCGGAAUCUGGGAGGACCAUCUCCUAAGGCUAAAUACUCUCUAGUGACCGAUAGUGAACCAGUACCGUGAGGGAAAGGUGAAAAGCACCCCGGAAGGGGAGUGAAAUAGAACCUGAAACCGUGUGCUUACAAGUAGUCAGAGCCCGUUAAUGGGUGAUGGCGUGCCUUUUGUAGAAUGAACCGGCGAGUUACGAUUUGAUGCAAGGUUAAGCAGUAAAUGUGGAGCCGUAGCGAAAGCGAGUCUGAAUAGGGCGUUUAGUAUUUGGUCGUAGACCCGAAACCAGGUGAUCUACCCUUGGUCAGGUUGAAGUUCAGGUAACACUGAAUGGAGGACCGAACCGACUUACGUUGAAAAGUGAGCGGAUGAACUGAGGGUAGCGGAGAAAUUCCAAUCGAACCUGGAGAUAGCUGGUUCUCUCCGAAAUAGCUUUAGGGCUAGCCUCAAGUGAUGAUUAUUGGAGGUAGAGCACUGUUUGGACGAGGGGCCCCUCUCGGGUUACCGAAUUCAGACAAACUCCGAAUGCCAAUUAAUUUAACUUGGGAGUCAGAACAUGGGUGAUAAGGUCCGUGUUCGAAAGGGAAACAGCCCAGACCACCAGCUAAGGUCCCAAAAUAUAUGUUAAGUGGAAAAGGAUGUGGCGUUGCCCAGACAACUAGGAUGUUGGCUUAGAAGCAGCCAUCAUUUAAAGAGUGCGUAAUAGCUCACUAGUCGAGUGACACUGCGCCGAAAAUGUACCGGGGCUAAACAUAUUACCGAAGCUGUGGAUUGUCCUUUGGACAAUGGUAGGAGAGCGUUCUAAGGGCGUUGAAGCAUGAUCGUAAGGACAUGUGGAGCGCUUAGAAGUGAGAAUGCCGGUGUGAGUAGCGAAAGACGGGUGAGAAUCCCGUCCACCGAUUGACUAAGGUUUCCAGAGGAAGGCUCGUCCGCUCUGGGUUAGUCGGGUCCUAAGCUGAGGCCGACAGGCGUAGGCGAUGGAUAACAGGUUGAUAUUCCUGUACCACCUAUAAUCGUUUUAAUCGAUGGGGGGACGCAGUAGGAUAGGCGAAGCGUGCGAUUGGAUUGCACGUCUAAGCAGUAAGGCUGAGUAUUAGGCAAAUCCGGUACUCGUUAAGGCUGAGCUGUGAUGGGGAGAAGACAUUGUGUCUUCGAGUCGUUGAUUUCACACUGCCGAGAAAAGCCUCUAGAUAGAAAAUAGGUGCCCGUACCGCAAACCGACACAGGUAGUCAAGAUGAGAAUUCUAAGGUGAGCGAGCGAACUCUCGUUAAGGAACUCGGCAAAAUGACCCCGUAACUUCGGGAGAAGGGGUGCUCUUUAGGGUUAACGCCCAGAAGAGCCGCAGUGAAUAGGCCCAAGCGACUGUUUAUCAAAAACACAGGUCUCUGCUAAACCGUAAGGUGAUGUAUAGGGGCUGACGCCUGCCCGGUGCUGGAAGGUUAAGAGGAGUGGUUAGCUUCUGCGAAGCUACGAAUCGAAGCCCCAGUAAACGGCGGCCGUAACUAUAACGGUCCUAAGGUAGCGAAAUUCCUUGUCGGGUAAGUUCCGACCCGCACGAAAGGCGUAACGAUUUGGGCACUGUCUCAACGAGAGACUCGGUGAAAUCAUAGUACCUGUGAAGAUGCAGGUUACCCGCGACAGGACGGAAAGACCCCGUGGAGCUUUACUGUAGCCUGAUAUUGAAAUUCGGCACAGCUUGUACAGGAUAGGUAGGAGCCUUUGAAACGUGAGCGCUAGCUUACGUGGAGGCGCUGGUGGGAUACUACCCUAGCUGUGUUGGCUUUCUAACCCGCACCACUUAUCGUGGUGGGAGACAGUGUCAGGCGGGCAGUUUGACUGGGGCGGUCGCCUCCUAAAAGGUAACGGAGGCGCUCAAAGGUUCCCUCAGAAUGGUUGGAAAUCAUUCAUAGAGUGUAAAGGCAUAAGGGAGCUUGACUGCGAGACCUACAAGUCGAGCAGGGUCGAAAGACGGACUUAGUGAUCCGGUGGUUCCGCAUGGAAGGGCCAUCGCUCAACGGAUAAAAGCUACCCCGGGGAUAACAGGCUUAUCUCCCCCAAGAGUUCACAUCGACGGGGAGGUUUGGCACCUCGAUGUCGGCUCAUCGCAUCCUGGGGCUGUAGUCGGUCCCAAGGGUUGGGCUGUUCGCCCAUUAAAGCGGUACGCGAGCUGGGUUCAGAACGUCGUGAGACAGUUCGGUCCCUAUCCGUCGUGGGCGUAGGAAAUUUGAGAGGAGCUGUCCUUAGUACGAGAGGACCGGGAUGGACAUACCUCUGGUGUACCAGUUGUCGUGCCAACGGCAUAGCUGGGUAGCUAUGUGUGGACGGGAUAAGUGCUGAAAGCAUCUAAGCAUGAAGCCCCCCUCAAGAUGAGAUUUCCCAACUUCGGUUAUAAGAUCCCUCAAAGAUGAUGAGGUUAAUAGGUUCGAGGUGGAAGCAUGGUGACAUGUGGAGCUGACGAAUACUAAUCGAUCGAA